rnacentral:misc_RNA from 1 species
AGAAGUGACAUACUGAUACUGAGACAAAGACUUUCUGAUCGGAACGCGGUCUAAAACCAUAAUUACAUCAUACAUGUACAGAAGAAUCAGCGAUUGUGUUAAGUGAGAAAAUCUAAAUUGAAGAGAAAACUUUUUUAUUGAUUACUUAAAAUUUUAAAAAAUAGAUUGCAAUGAAGUCUUCGUUUCGUUUGUACAUGAAUGUGUCAAAUUCAAAAUUCAAAAUAAAACUUUUCACCAAC